ACGAACGCUGGCGGCAUGCCUAACACAUGCAAGUCGAACGAAGGCUUCGGCCUUAGUGGCGCACGGGUGCGUAACGCGUGGGAAUCUGCCCUUGGGUUCGGAAUAACAGUUGGAAACGACUGCUAAUACCGGAUGAUGUCGCGAGACCAAAGAUUUAUCGCCCAGGGAUGAGCCCGCGUCGGAUUAGGUAGUUGGUGGGGUAAAGGCCUACCAAGCCGACGAUCCGUAGCUGGUCUGAGAGGAUGAUCAGCCACACUGGGACUGAGACACGGCCCAGACUCCUACGGGAGGCAGCAGUGGGGAAUAUUGGACAAUGGGCGAAAGCCUGAUCCAGCAAUGCCGCGUGAGUGAUGAAGGCCUUAGGGUUGUAAAGCUCUUUUACCCGGGAUGAUAAUGACAGUAGCGGGAGAAUAAGCUCCGGCUAACUCCGU
rnacentral:rRNA from 1 species